rnacentral:rRNA from 1 species
ACAUACGACCAUAGGGUGUGGAGAACAGGGCUUCCCGUCCGCUCAGCCGUACUUAAGCCACACGCCGGCCGGUUAGUAGUUGGGUGGGUGACCACCAGCGAAUCCCGGCUGUUGUAUGNN